rnacentral:rRNA from 1 species
GAUGAACGCUGGCGGCGUGCCUAAUACAUGCAAGUCGAGCGAACGGACGAGAAGCUUUCUUCUCUGAUGUUAGCGGCGGACGGGUGAGUAACACGUGGAUAACCUACCUAUAAGACUUGGAUAACUUCGGGAAACCGUAGCUAAUACCGGAUAAUAUUUUGAACCGCAUGGUUCAAAAGUGAAAGACGGUCUUGCUGUCACUUAUAGAUGGAUCCGCGCUGCAUUAGCUAGUUGGUAAGGUAACGGCUUACCAAGGCAACGAUGCAUAGCCGACCUGAGAGGGGGAUCGGCAACACUGGAACUGAGAAACGGUCCAGACUCCAACGGGAGGCAGCAGUAGGGAAUCUUGAGCAAUGGGCGAAAGCCUGACGGAGCAACGCGGCGUGAGUGAUGAAGGUCUUCGGAUCGUAAAACUCUGUUAUUAGGGAAGAACAUAUGUGUAAGUAACUGUGCACGUCUUGACGGUACCUAAUCAGAAAGCCACGGCUAACUACGUG